rnacentral:rRNA from 1 species
GAUUAAGUUAUUAAGGGCGCACGGUGGAUGCCUUGGCACUAGAAGCCGAUGAAGGACGUUACUAACGACGAUAUGCUUUGGGGAGCUGUAAGUAAGCUUUGAUCCAGAGAUUUCCGAAUGGGGAAACCCAGCAUGAGUUAUGUCAUGUUAUCGAUAUGUGAAUACAUAGCAUAUCAGAAGGCACACCCGGAGAACUGAAACAUCUUAGUACCCGGAGGAAGAGAAAGAAAAUUCGAUUCCCUUAGUAGCGGCGAGCGAAACGGGAAGAGCCCAAACCAACAAGCUUGCUUGUUGGGGUUGUAGGACACUCUAUACGGAGUUACAAAGGACGACAUUAGACGAAUCAUCUGGAAAGAUGAAUCAAAGAAGGUAAUAAUCCUGUAGUCGAAAAUGUUGUCUCUCU